rnacentral:lncRNA from 10 species
GAAUCUAUGAAGGGACAUCAUUUCUGAGCCCAUUGAGACUUGUAGUGAAAAACCAAGCAUCCCCUGAUAAAUAGGUAGUAGAAACAAACUACCUAUGAAAAUGCUUUUUGAUUUGUGGAUUUAUCUCACAGUGUUAAAUUUUUGAUUUGAUUCAACUGGUUGAAAACAUUCUUUAUGUAGAAUCUAUGAAGAGACGUUUUUGAGCUUAUCGAGAUGUAAGGUGAGAAACUGAAUAUCCCGCUAUGCAAAGUACAAACAAGCUCUCUGUGAAAAUGCUUUGUUAUAUGGGGAUUCUUCUCACUGAAUGGAUCUUGUGUUGUGAUUCACUGGGUUGGAAACACUUUUUUUUAGAAUCUAUGAAGGGACAUUUCCGAGGCCAUCGAGGCCUAUAGUGAACAACAGAAUAUUCUGUGAUAAAAACUAGAAACAACCUACCUGUGAAAACGAUUUGUGAUCUUUGGAUUCAUCUCACCACAUGGAACCUGUGUUUUGAUUCAGCUGGUUGGAAAAACUCUUUUUGUGGAAUCUACCAAAGGAUAUUUCUAAGCCCGUUGAGGCCUAUAUUAAAUUGAUUAUCUCAUGGUAAGAACUAGAAACAAGCUAUCUGUGAAAAUGCUUUGCAUUAGGUGGAUUCAUCUCAUGAAGUUAAACCUUUGUUUUAUUCAACAGGUUGAAAGCAUUCUUUUUGUAGAAUCUAUGAAAAGACAUUUCUGAGCUUAUUCUGGUUUAUAGAGUAAAACCGAAUAUCCUGAAAUAAAAACUGGAAACUAGGUAUGUAUGAAAAUGCUUUGUGAUGGGUGGAGUUAUCUCAGAGUAAAAUCUUUGUUUUGAUUCAACAGGUUGGAAAUACUCUUAGUGUAGAAUAUAUGAAGGGACAAUUUCAAAGACCAUUAAGGCCUAUAGUGAAAAAACAAAUAUACUGCAAUAUAAACUAGAAACAAGCUAUACGUGAAAAUGUUUUGUGAUGAGUGGAUUUAUCUCACAGAGUUAAACCUAUGUUUUGAUUCAACAAAUUGAAAAUACUCUUUUUAUAGAACUACAAAGAGAAAUUUCUGAGCCUUUGAAACCUAUACUGAAAAACUGAAUAUUCCACCAUGAAACUAGAAAGAAACUAUACAUGAAAAUGCUUCGUGAAGGGUGGAUAUUUCUCACAGAGUUAAACCUUUAUUUUGAUUCAACAGGUUAAAACCAGGUUCUUUGUAAAAUCUAUGAAGGAACAUUUCUUAGCCCAUUGAGGCCUAGUGUGAAAACCCAAAUAUCACACAACUAAAACUAGAAAGAAGCUAUUUAUAAAAAUACUUUGUGGUAUACGGAUUUAUCUCACAGAAUGAAACCUUUGUUUUGAUUCAAAAUGUUGGAAUCAUAUUCCUUGUAAAAUCUAUGAAAAAACACUUCUUAACUUAUUGUAGCCUAGAGUGAAAAACUGGAUAACCCAUAAUAACUAGAAACAAGCUAUCUGUGACAAUGCUCUGUGAUGUGUGGAUUCAUCUCACAUAGUUAAACUUUUGCUUUUAUCAACAGAUUGGAAACACUCUUUUUGUAGAAACUACAAAAAGACAUUUCUGAGCCCAUGGUGCAUACAGUGAAAAAAUAAAAAAUUGUAUGAUAAAAGCUAGAAACAUGGUAUGUGUAAACAUGCUUUGCCAUGUGAGGUUUCAUGUCAGAGAGUUCAACAUUUGUUUUGAUUCAACAGGUUGAAAACACAAUUUUUGAAGUAUCUAUGAUGGGACAUAUCGAAGCCCGUUGAGACUUAGUGAAAAACAGAAUAUCCCCUGACAAAAAUUAGAAACAAGCUUUCUGUGAAAAUGUUUUUUGAUGUCUGUAUUUAUCUCACUGAAUGAAAAAUGCAUUUUGAUUCAAGAUGCUGGAAACACUAUUUUUGUAGAAUCUAUGAAGGGAUAUUUCUGAACUCAUUGAAGUCUACAGUGACAAACCGACUAUCCAAUGAUAAAAACUAGAAAUACGCUGUGAAAAAGUUUUAUGAUGUGUGGAUUCUUCUCACUGAAUUAAACCUGCAUUGUAAAUCAUCAGGACUGAAACCUUCUAUUUGUAGAAUCUAUGAAGGAACAUUUAUGAGCCCAUCGAGGCCUGUAUUGAAAAACAAAGGAUCCUGUGGUAAAAACUAGAAACAACCUAAAUAUGGAAAUGCUUUGAGAAAUGUGAUUCAUCUCACAGAGAUGAAUCUUUGUAUUGAUUCAUCAGGUUGGAAACUCUCUUUUUGUGGAAAAUAAAAGGUCUAAAAAGAGACAUAUCUGAGCCCAUUGUGGCCUACAGUGAAAAACUGAAUUUCUUGAACAAACGCUGGAAACCAGCUAUGUGUGAAAAUGCUUUGUGAUGUGUGGGUUUAUCUCACAAAGUUAAACCAUUGUUUUGAUUCAACAUGUUGGAAACACUCUCUCUGUAGAAUCUAUGAAAAAACAUUUCUGAGCUCAUUGAGAAGUAUAGUGAAAAACCACAUAUCCUGAAAUAGAAACUAGAAACAAGAUACGUGUGGAAUGUUUGUGAUGUGUGGAUUCAUCUCACCAAAUGGAACCUGUAUUUUGAUUCACCCAGUUGGAAACACACUUUUUGUAGAAUCUACGAAGGGACAUUUCAGAGCCCAUUGAGGCCUAUUGUGAAAAAUCAAUUAUCCCAUGGUAAAAACUUGAAACAACCUAUCUGUGAAAAUACUUUGUGAUGUAUAGAUUCAUCUCACAAAGUUAAACCAUUGUUUUUAUUCAACACAUUGGAAACACUAUUUUUUAGAAUCUACAAAUAGAAAUUUCUUAGCUUUUUGAGACCUAUAGUAAGAAACUAAUAUCCCACAAUAAAAACUAGAGACAAGCUGUAUGUGAAAAUGUUUUGUGAUGUGUGCAUUCAUCUAACUGAAUGGCACCUGUGUUUUGAUUCACAAGGUUGGAAACACUUUUUGUAGAAUCUACAGAGGUACAUUUCUGAGCCCAUUGAGGCCUACUGUGAAAAACCAAAUAUUCUGUGAUAAAAAUUAGAAACAAGCUAUCUUUGAAAAUGCUUUGGUAUAUGUGGAUUUAUCUCACAGCAUUUAACCUAUGUUUUGAUUCAACAGGUUGGAACGACUUUUUUAGCAGAAUCUAUGACAGUACGUUUCUUUGUCCUUUUAAACCUAUCAUGAAAAACCAAAUUUCCUGUGAUAAAAACCAGAAACAGGGUUUCUGUGAAAAUGCUUUGUGAUGUGUGGAUUCAUCUCACAGACGUUAACCUUUGUUUUGUUUCAACAGGUUCAAAACACUCUUCCUGUAAAAUCUACUUAGGGACAGUCCUGAGCCCAUUGAGGUCUUUAGUAAAAAACGGAAUAUCCCAUGAUAAAAACUAGAAACAAACUAUCUGGGAAAAUGUUUGUGAUGUGUGGUUUCAUAUCACAGAGUAAAACCUUUGUUUUGAUUUAAAACGUUGAAAUCACUCUUUUUGUAGUAUCUAGAAAUGGAUAUUUCUGAACCCGUUGAUGCUUAUAGUAAAAAAUUAAAUUUUCUACAAUAUAAACUAGAAACAAACUAUCCGUGAAAACGUUUUGUAAUAUGUUAAUUCAGCUCUCAAAAUUAAACUUUUGUUUUUAUUCAACACCUUGGAAAAGCUUUUUUUUUUGUAGAAUUUACAAAGGGACGUUUCUGAGCUCAUUAAGGCUUAUAGUGAAUAACAAAAUAUCCCACCUAAAAUUUAGAAACAAGAUAUCUGUGAAAAUAAUUUCCGAUGUGUAGAUUUAAUGCACAGAGUUAAAACUGUUUUAAUUCCACAGAUUGGAAACUUUUUUUGUAGAAUCUACGAAGGGACAUUUCUGAGCCCAUUGAAACCUAUUGUGAAAAAGCUAAUAUCCCGUGAUAAAAACUAGAAAGCAGCUAUCUGUGAAAACGUUUUGCAAUGUGUGGAUUCAUAUCAAAGGCUUAAAACUUUGUUUUAAUUCAACAGGUUGGAAACUUUUUUUGUAGAAUCUAUGAAGAAACAUUUCUGAGCUCACUGAGGCAUAUUUGGAAAAAUGGGUAUCUCACAAUACAAACUGGAAACAAGCUAUCUGUGGAAACGUUUUAUGAUGUGUGGAUUCAUGUCACAGAGUUAAUCCUUUGUUUUGAUUCAACAGUUUGAAAACACUUUUUUUGUAGAAUAUACAAAAAGACAUUUCUGAGCCCUUUGAAUCCUAUAGUAAAGAAACAAAUAUCUCACGAUAAAAACUAAAAAGAAAUUUUCUGUGAAAAUGCUUUGUGAUGUGUGGAUUCAUCUCAUAGAGUUAAACCUAUGUUUUCAUUCAACACAUUGUAAACACUCUUUUUGUAGAACCUAUGAAAAGACAUUUCUGAGCCCAUUGCAGCCUUUAGUGAAAAACCAAAUUUCCCACGAUGAAAAUUAGAAACAAGCUACACGUGAAAAUGCUUUGUAAUGUGUGGAUUCAUCUCACCGAAUGGAACCUGUGUUUUGAUUCAAUGGGCUAAAAGCACUGCUUUGUAGAAUCUGUGAAGGGACAUUUCUGAGCACAUUGAGGUCUAUUGUGAGAAACUGAAUAUUCCUCAAGAAAAACUAGAAACAAUCUAUCUGUGAAAAUACUCCAGGCCAAUCCAGGCAUUCUAAUGGGAGAGACCUUUGGCCCACCUCAGGCAGUCUAAGGAUAGAGACACUUGGGUGACUUCAGGCAUUCUAAUGGGAGAGACUCCUGGCUGAGCCCAGGCAUUGUAAUGAUAGAGACACCUCCGCAACUCCAGACAUUCUAACACGAGAGACUCCCGGUCGACCCCAGGCUUUAUUGUGAUAGAGACACCUGGGCGACCCCAGGCAUCAUUAUUGGAGAGACUCCAGGCCGACCUCAGGCAUUUUUUUUUUUUGAGACAGAGUCUCAUUUUGUCACAGAAGCUAAAAUAGAGUGACACAAUCUCAACUCACUGCAACUUCCAUUUUCUGGGUUCAAGUGAUUCUUUUGCCUCAGCCCCCCAAGUAGCUGGGAUUAAUGAUGUGUGCCACUGCAUCCAACUAAUUUUUGUAUUUUUAGUAGAGACAGGGUUUCACCAUGUUAGCCAGGCUGCUCUUGAUCUCCUGACGUCAGGUGAUCCACUGCCCUCGGCCUCCCAAAGUGCUUGGAUUACAACCCCAGGAAUUCUAAGGAGAGAGACUUCCUGCUGAACAAAGGCACUCUAAUGAUAGCGACACCUGAUGGACCACAGGCAUUCUAAUGGGAGAGACUCCUGGUUGACCCCAGGCAGUCUAAUGAUAGAGACACCUGGGCGACCUCAGGCAUUUUAAUGGGAGAGACUCCUGGCACACUCUAGGCAUUCUAAUGGGAGAGACUCCUUAUCGACUCCAGGUAUUCUAAUGAUGGAGACACCUUGGCGACCCCAGGCCUUAAAAUGGUAGAGACUUCCAGCCAACCCGAGGCAUUCUAAUGAUAGAGACACCUGAGCCACCACAGGUAAUUUAAUGGGAGAGAAUCCCAAGUGACCCCAGGCAUUCUAAUGGGAGAGACUCCUGGCUGACAGUAGUCUUACAGAGACACCUUUGGGAGCCCAAGCAUUCUAAUAUGAGAGAUUCCUCACCGACCCCAGGGAGGCUAAUGACAGAGACACCUGGGAGACCCGAGGCAUUCUAAUGUGAGAGACACCAAGCGGGCCCAAGGCAGUCUAAUUAUAGAGACACAUUAACGUCUCUAUAAUGGGAGAGACUCUCGGCCGAGACCAGCAGGCUAGUGACAGAGACAACUGGGCAACCCAAGGCAAUCUAAACAAACAGACUCCUGGCUGGGCGCAGUGGCCCAUGCCUGUAAUCUCAGCACUUUUGGAGGCUGAGAGGGGUGGAUCACGAGUGCAAGAGAUUGAUACCAUCCUGGCCAACAUGGUGAAAACCUGUCUCUACUAGAAAUACAAAAAUUAGCUGGGUGUGGUGGCCUGUGCCUGUAGUCCCAGCUACUCGGGAGAGUGAACCCUGGAGGUGGAGUUUGCAGUGAGCCGAGAUCAUGCCAUUGCAUUCCAGACUGAAGACAGUGAGACUCCAUAAAAGCAAAAAUAAAAACAAACAAAACCUCCUGGCUGACUUCAGGCAUUCUAAUGGGAGAGAUUCCUGGCCGACCUCGGGCUGUCUAAUAAUGGAGACACCUAGUUGACUUCAGGCAUUUUAAUAGGGAAAGUCCCUGACCAACCACAGGUGGUCAAAUUAUAGAGACACCUGAACGAUCACAGUCAUUCUAAUGAAAGAGACUUUAGGCUGACCCAAGGCAUUCUAACAGGAGAGACUCCUUGCCUACCCAGGCAGUCUAAUUAUAGAGACACAUGGGUGACCCCAGGAAUUCUAAUGGGAGAGAUUCCUGGCUGAACCCAGGCAUUCUAAUGAUAGAGACACCAGGGUGACUCCAGGCAUUUUAAUGGGAGAUUCUCCUGGCCAAUUUUGAGCAUUCUAAAGGGAAGCAUUUUAAUGUGAGAGACUCCUGACUGAACCCAGGCAGUCUAAGGAUAGAGACAGUUGCGUGACUUUAGGCAUUCUAAUGGAAGACACUGUGGGGGAAAGAAAGAGAGAUCAGACUGUUACUGUGUCUAUGUAGAAAGAAGAAGGCGUAAGAAACUCCAUUUUGUUCUGUACUAAGAAAAAUUCUUCUUUCUUGAGAUGCUGUUAAUCUGUAACCCUAGCCCCAACCAUGUGCUCACAGAAACAUGUGCUGUGUUGACUCAAGGUUUAAUGGAUUUAGGGCUGUGCAGGAUGUGCUUUGUUAAAAAUGUGUUUGCAGGAAGUAUGCUUGGUAAAAGUCAUCGCCAUUCUCCAGUCUCGAGCACCCAGGGACAAAAUUGAGCAGUUUAAUUGUAGAGACAUCUGGGCAACUCAGGCAUUUUAAUAAAGGAGACUCCCAGCUUGCCCCCGGCAGUCUAAUGAUGAAGACACCUUGUUGACCCCAGGCAUUCUAAUGGGAGAGACCCAGCUGACCCCAGGCAGUCUAAAAAUAGAGACACUCAGGUAACACCAGGCAUUUUAAUGGGAAAGACAUCUGGCCGACAACAGGCAGGCUAAUUUUAGAGACUCUUGGGUUGCCCCAGACAUUCUAAUAAGAGAGACUCUCAGCUGAACCAUGGCAGUCUAAUGAUAGAGACACCUGGGCGACCCAGACGUCUUAAUAGGAUAGAAUCCCAGACGACUCCAGGCAUUCUAACAAUAGAUACAUUUUGGCGAAUCCAUACAUUCUAAUAUGAGAGAUUCCCGGCAGACACAAGGCAUCCUCUCAGGAGAGAAUCCUGCCUGAUCCCAGGCAGUCUAAUUAUAGAGACAACUGGGUGACCCCAGGCAUUCUAAUGGGAAAGACUCCUGGCCAACCCCAGGUGGUUUAAUGAUAGAGACACUUGGGCAACCCCACAUUCUAAUGGAAGAGACUCCUGAUCCACCCCAGCAUUCUAAUGAGAGAUAACUUUUGCCUACUGCAGGCACUCUCAGGUUAGAGUCACCUGGGCAAACAAGCAUUCUACUGGCAGAGACUCCUCGAUGACCAAAUACACUCUAAUUAUAAAGACACCUGGGUGACCCCAGGCAUUCUACUGGGAGACAGUCCUGGCCUACCUCAGGCAGUCUAAUAAUAGAGACUCCUGGGCGACCCCAGGCAUUCUAACGGGAGAAACUCCCACUGACUUCUGCCAGUUUAAUUAUAGAGACACAUGGGAGACCCAAGGCAUUUUAAUGGAAAGAAUUCCAGCUGACACCAGAUAGUUCAAUAAUAGAGACACAUGGGUGAUCCCAAGCAUUCUAAUGGGAGAGACUGGUGGCCAAACCCGGACAGUCUAAUGAUAGAGACACCUGGGCGACUCCAGACAUUUUAAUGGGAAAGACUCCUGGCUGAACACAGGCAGUCUAAAAAUAGAUACUUGGGCAACUUCAGACAUUCUAAUAGGAGAGAUUCCCGGCUGAUGCCAGGCCAUCUAAUGAUAGAGACACCUGGAUGAACCCAGGAAUUCUAAAGAGAGAGACUUUCCAGCCGAUUCCAUAAAGUCUAAUGAUAGGGACACCAGGGCAACCCCGCAUUCUAAUAGGAGAGACUCCUGACCCACUUUGGGCAUUCUAAUGGAAGAGACCCUGGCUGACUGCAGGCAGUCUAAGGUUAGAGUCACCCGGGGGACCACAGACAUUCUAAUGGUAGAGACUCUUGGCUGACCAAAGUCAUUCUAAUUAUAGAGAAACCUGGGCGACUGCAGGCAUUGUAUUGGGAGACAUUCCCAGCUGAACCGAGGGAGUCUAAAAAUAGCGACAUCUGGGUGACCCAGGCAUGCUAAUGUAAGAUACACAUGGCCGGUUUUAGCCAGACUAAUAAUAGAGAAACCUGGCCAACCACAGACAUUUUAAGGGGAGAGACUCCAUGCCAACCAUAGGCAUUCUAAUGAUAGAGACACCUGGACGACAUAAGGCAUUUUGAUAAGAGAAACUUCCAAUGGACACUAGGCAAUCUCAUGAGAGACACUCCUGGCUGACACCAGGCACUUUAAAGAUAGAGACACCUGGGCCGCUCCAGGCAUUCUCUUAGAGACUCCUGGAUGAUCCCAGGCAGUCUAAUUAUAGAGACGCCUGGGCGAACCCAGGC